rnacentral:lncRNA from 1 species
UUGUCAUUAAGUCAGCCAUAGCCCUCUUGUCAAGGACACGCAUCAUGUCUUCCAACCAAUCAAUGCAAUGGUCAUAUUUCUUUGUGAUAAAGCUCCUGGACCAUCCCCCUGUCGAGAGAACUGCACUCGACGUUGGGCAGUCUUUUAAAGCAUGUAACACCGUUUCUGUCUUGGCUCCACAUCUCAGACAUCCCUUGUCAAAGCCCUGUCUGAUGGAAGCUAUUUUACUGUUAGUUGGGAGAAUUUCGUGUCCCACACGCCAAGUAAAAACCCGUAUCUUCGGUAAAAUAUCAAGCUUCCAUAGUGCUUUCCAAAAAAACCUAUGUGGGCCAUAUCCCAUCUUUUUUAACAGCAGCCAAUAAUAAGUAGACUUUGAGGUAUAGCAUCUAUGCAGAUUAUGGAACCAUAUUAUUCUAUCGUCAUGGUCUAUUCUCCCAAUUGGGAGGUUGCAAAUUUUAUCCCCCCAAUCCUGCCCGUACAACUUAAAGAUUUUAUCCCUAUUCCAGCUUCUCUGAUCCUUAUUCCAUAGGUCUGACACUCUUCUAUCAUUCAGGUCAAGCAAAUCCAUAUUAAGAGCUCCACCGUUUAAUCCUUCCAUCCCCCAGUUAUCAGCCCUUAUGUUUAUCUUAUUUCCAUUUCCUACCUGCCACCCGAAUCCAUUUUUGAGGGUAUUUGCUGCAGCUGCAAUGCUAGUCCACUUAAAAGACGCUUUAUCAACCUUCUUGGAGUUGAAUAUAUUGCCAUCAGGGAAAUACUUAGACGACAACACUUUAUAGCAAAGUGUGUCUUUGUUAUUAAUAAGGCUCCAGACUUGCCUCCCCAGUAGAGCCAAGUUAAACAGUCUGAUGUCCGUUAUGCCAAUUCCACCCAUUCCUUUCGGGUGACACAAUGUUUUCCACGGAAGCAUCGUCCAAAAUCUGCCUUUAUCUUUGCCCGUCUACCAUGCUCUGCUCAGCUUGGAUUGUAUGUCAUCCAGCACACCUCUAGGAGCCUUAAAGAUCGACAAAGCAUAUGUUGGUAUGGACUGAAGAACUGCUUUUAUGAAGACUUCCUUACCGCCAAAUGAAAUGAGCCUUUUGGUCUAGCUGUUUAAUCUGCAUGACAGCUUGUUAAUUAUCUCCUGGAAAGCCACUCUUUUCUUUUUUCCUAUAGGAAGUGGAAGGCCGAGAUAGUUAUCCAGCUUCUCAACCACCUUCAUGCCAAGAAUUUCACCGAAAUUGUGUCUCUGUUCCCUUGGAGUAUUAGGACUAAAAAUAACCAUAGAUUUUUCAUAAUUAAUUUCUUGUCCUGAAACAUUAGCAAAAACCUUCAGUAUAUGGCUAAGACAGGUAAUAUCACUUUGCUUAUUUUUAACAAACAGUAGAGCAUCGUCAGCAAAAAAUAAGUGGUUAACUCUAGGUCCUUUAAUACUAGCCCUAAUUCCUUGUAAUGAUUUUUUAUUCUGAGCCUGAAUCAUCAUCCUUGACAAGGCUUCCAUACAGAAAAGAAACAGAUAAGGGGAUAAAAGGAUCCCCUUGACGGAGACCCCUCUCCGGAAUAAUAAUGUCCGAUAACAAAUUAUUACACUUAACAAAAUAUCUUACCGACCGAACGCAACACAUAAUUUUGUCUAUCCACUGCUCAGCAAACCCCAUUUUCUUCAUUACCUUCUCGAUAAAAUCCCACUCCACUCAAUCAUAUGCUUUACUCAUAUCAAUCUUGAUUGCUAUCCCUUUAUUUGGACCAUUUUUGGAGCUCGGAAGGUAAUGUAGGAGUUCAUGUGCGAUUAAGAUAUUAUCAUGUAUCAUCCUUCCUGGUACGAAAGCGCUUUUGACUGAUACAUCCUGGGAGGGCAACUUUAAGCCGAUUAGCCAAGACCUUUGAAACAAUCUUGUAAAUAAAUCUACAUAAACUAAUGGGACGAUAGUUAGUAAUUUCACAUGGAUCACGAAUUUUUGGAAUUAAUAUAAUCAUUGUCUCAUUCAUAUCAGCGAUGUCAUUUUUUCCCUUAAGAAUGUCCAGAUAGAAUUGAACAGUUUCAUUUCCAACAAUCUCCCAAUGAUUUUUGAAAAAACUUCCCAAUAGACCAUAACCCCCGGAGCUUUGUGAGGGUUCAUUUGUUUAAUAGCUUGGAGAACUUCAUUUUCCGUGUAGUCCAUCGUAAGCCACUCAUUCAUCUCUGUAGUAACACAUUCCUGAAUGUACUCCAUAUCAUGGUUUUCAACGUUCUGACCAUUUGACGAAAGAGUCUCCAAAAGUAAUUUUUAGCCACAUUGCUGAUAUCUAUACUAUCAGUUACCCACUUCCCAUCCUCAUUCUUAAGCUCUAGCAUGAAAAUAUCUCGUAUUCCUAUCCCCAUCUCUUAACCAUUGAGACCUUGACCUUUGAGCCCAGUAUUUUUCUUCCCUGGCAUAAAGUUGGCUAAGUCUGCUCCUCAUCUCCCUUAAAAUGAUCACACUAUCGUCCCUUGUUUCAGAAUCGAUGGCCCGGUCAAUUUUAUUUUCCAACUUCCGCAUAUCAUUUUUCAUUUUCCCAUAUCUAUCCCUCUGCCACGGGCCCAGGACUCCCCGAAUCUUCUCUAACUUGUUAACAUAAUUUGUAGCUUCUCGGUUCCACUCACUGCUAAUAACACUUUUUGCCUUACUAUCCGUAGCCCAACAUUCUUCAAAUCUGAAGCAUAAUCUUUGGCCUCUAGGGUACUCCUUAGGCUUACUGCCCCACAUGUCCCAUAUGAUCGCAUCAUGAUCAGACUGUGUUUGCCGCACCACCUUAGAGGUCAUAAAGGGAUAUUUCUCAAUCAUAGAUACCGAGGUAACAAACCUAUCUAACCUUUCUUUUAUCAUGUUCCCCCCGCUUCUGUUGUUGACCCAAGUAAACCACCCUCUAACAGGUUUAAUAUCCACAAGAGCUAAAUUGUCUAGGACAUCUUUAAAUUCAUCCAUAUGUGCCCUCACCUUCCUUCUCCCUCCAUCUUUUUCAGCUUCAUUCAGGAUAGCAUUAAAGCCCCCCCAACCACCCAAUCCUCCCUCACCAAACCACCUACCUUUUCCAACAUUUCCCAAGAAUUGCUUCUUAAAUUUGGAUUCGCAUGCCCGUAAAAUCCAGUUACACGGAUGUUAUUAUGAUUUUUCAACCGAACCAGGGAAUCAAUGUGAUGCUUAGAGAAACUUUGAAUGGUAACAUCUAUUCCUUCCUCCCACAUUAAAGCAAGACCGCCGCUACGUCCUUCCGAGUUCACGGCUAAACCACUCUGCAUCCUGCAUCUAUUUUGAACCCGACUGAACUCAUUUGCACUCAUCUUUGCUUCGCUCAGGAAAACAAUAUCAGGUUUAUAAGCAGCCAGCAAUUGCUUUAGCUCCCUGACAGUCGCGGUAUUCCCCAAACCUCGACAAUUCUAACAAAAAAACUUCAUGGCAUGAAGAAACCCCAGACCAAGCCACAACCGAAUCAAGAACCGAGAGAAGAGAAAAGGAGAACGAAGCACUCCACCGGACAGAAAUCAAACCAGCCAACAGAGUCUGCAAAAUAAAGACACCAAACAAAAGAAAUCGAAGCGCUGUACCAAUCCAACACAAGAUCGAAAAGAGAACCUCAAAACCCUACAGAGACACCUUUCGAUAAACACCCACCCUCAUGCUUCAAGACAGAGAGAAACAUGCAAGAAAUUGAAACCCGAAGCAGGAAACUACAGUCAAGAGAUACCCAAGAGAUUAAAAACAACUUACACAAAAUCUGAAGAAAACUAAGACAACCGAGUAACAAUAUAAAAAAAGAAUAUUGUAAACAAAAUUCCUGUUACAGCAAGAUUAACCCUACAAUGAGAAUAUCUUGAAACAAGUCAAAAGAAGACUCUACCAUUAAUGUUAUCUAUGCAAAAAGAAUCCGAACCAUUAAUGGCGAUCAUGAAAAAGAUUCAAAAAACCAUGCAUGAUACGUACAAACCCCAUGCACCCUUACGAAAGAAAAAGAACAAUAAAAAAGACCACAAGAAAAUGACAAAACCUCGGCAAGCCCAAUAAAGGAUCUCGUCAAAACCGUACAUGCAAGCCAAUCAAACACAAACGUAAGGGUGUAAAACGAAACCCUUAAUCCAUGCAGAAACGACUAAAAAGAACGUAGAGAAGCCAACUUCACCGCCGCUUUUCUAGUCCACCGUGGGACCCGCCACAAAGCUAUCAGCGACUUAUCCCGAAACAACAAGCACAACACCCGAAAAAAUGAAAACGCACCCAAAGAACACCAAGAAUCGAAAGAAAAAAAAACAAAAAAGGACAAGAAUCACCGUGAAGAUCACUCGAAAGCACUGCAAGAACUUCUUAUCCAAGCGUUUAUCAAACAGGGUCUGACUAUGCUAGAAAGAGAGCGUGACGAACCCCGAGUGUAUUGCCCGUACUCCUCAAUAAUCCUACCACCGCUAACCCCGAAAAGAAACACGGAACCCUUUCACAAUCCCAGCAAAAAUCUUACAAGCUUGAAAAUCACGAUAACUCGGCCAGUCAAAGUAGGGUCAGAACAUGCAACACCUAUGAAAACAACCAAUCACCCGCAGGCCGCAACCACCACUUCAAACCCCACCCUACCGCCAACUGGGGCACCCCAAAAACCCCUAAACUGCCAUAAAAUUCAAAAGAAUAAUAGGCAGACACACGCUAUCAGGCAACAUUUGUAUGUCUGAAACGGGGAAACUUUUCUUUAGCCCGUACAUCCGAGGCACCAGGGUACCCCUGCUACUCGAGGCACCCGCGCAUCCAACGUCCUAGGUUGCCGAUGGUGUCCAAGGCUCCCGCACAUACAAGCACCAAGGUACCAAUGCUGCUCGAGGCUCCCGCACAUCCAAGGCACCAAGGUGCCGAUGGUGCCCAAGGCUCCCGCACGACCAAGGUCCUAGGUUGCCGAUGGUGUCCGAGGCUCCCGCACAUCCAAGCACCAAGGUGCAAAUGGUGCCCGAGGUUCUCGCACGAUCAAGGCCUAGGUUGCCGAUGGUGCCCGAGGCUCCCGCACGACUAGGGGCCUAGGUUGCCGAUGGUGCCCGAGGCUCCCGCACGACCAAGGGCCUAGGUUGCCGAUGGUGUCCGAAGCUCCCGCACAUCCAAGCACCAAGGUGCCAAUGGUGGCCGAGGCUCCCGCACGACCAAGGGUCUAGGUGCUGAUGGUCCCGAGGCUCUCGCACGACCAAGGGCCUAGGUUGCUGAUGGUGCUCGAGGCUCCCGCACGACCAGGGGCCUAGGUUGCCGAUGGUGCCCCAAGCUCCCGCACGACCAAGGGCCUAGGUUUCCGAUGGUGCCCGAGGCUCCUGCACGACCAAAGGCCUAGGAGCCGAUGGUGCCCGAGGCUCUCACAUGACCAAGGACCUAGGUUGCCGAUGGUACCCGAGGCUCCCGCACGACCAGUGGCCUAGGUUGCAGAUGGUGCCCGAAGCUCCUGCACGACCAAUGGCCUAGGUUGCCGAUGGUGCCCGAGGCUCCCGCACGACCAAGGGCUUAGGUGCCGAUGGUGCCCGAGGCUCCCGUACGACCAAGGGCCUAGGUUGCCGAUGGUACCGAGGCUCUUGCACGACCAGGGGCCUAGGUUGCCGAUGGUGCGCGAAGCUCCCGCACGACCAAGGGGCUAGGUUGCUGAUGGUGUCCGAGGCUCACGACCAAGGGCCUAGGUGCCGAUGGUGUCCGAGGCUCCCGCACGACCAGGGGCCUAGGUUGCCGAUGGUGCCCGAGGCUCCCGUACGACCAGGGGCCUAGGUUGCCGAUGGUGCCCGAGGCUCCCGUACGGCCAAGGGCCUAGGUUACCGAUGGUGCCCGAGGCUCCCGCACGACCAAGGGCCAAGGUGCUGAUGGUGCCCGAGGCUCCCGCACGACCAAGGGCCUAGGUGCCGAUGGUACCCAGGCUCUCGCACGACCAGGGGCCUAGGUUGCCGAUGGUGCCCGAGGCUCCCGCACGACCAAGGGCCUAGGUUACCGAUGGUGACCGAGGCUCCUGCACAUCCAAGCACUAAUGUGCUGAUGGUGCCGGAGGCUCCCGCACGACCAAGGGUCUAGGUGCCGAUGGUGCUUGAGGCUCCCACACGACCGACGUCCUAGGUUACCGAUGGCGUCCAAGGCUCCAGCAUGUCCAAGCAACAAUGUGCCGAUGCUCCCGCACCAUCGACGUCCUAGGUUACCAAGGGUACCUGAUGCUUCAGCACGACCAAGGGCCCAAGGUGCCGGAGGCUCUUGUUCCAAAAGGGGAGGGACCAGGAUGAUUCAAAAGGGGAAGGACCGGGAAGACUUGUAGCAUCAUUUUUGAUAUUCCGGGAUGGCUCACCGGAGCACCGUCGGGAUGGCUCGCCGAAACACCACCGGAAUGGAUCGCCGGAGCACCGCCGGGAACCUAAUCGGUGAUGGGGGCACCGACGUCUGGGCAUGAAUUGGGGGUGGGCAGUGCCCUGGACAACCCCUGUUCGCCUCAAUAUCACCUCCCCCCUAAAAAUCUAAAAAAAUUGGUCAAUGUGCUACCAGGCGACAUUCAUGUGUCUGAAACAGGGAUACUUUAUGGUGCCGACGCUUCUGCACCAACGGGAGCCCAAAAUUAGCUUUGAUGCUCGACCCUCCCGCACAUCCGAUGCACCAAGGUGCCGAUGCUGCCCGAUGCUCCGACACAUCAAAGGGGCCGGUGGUGCCCGAUGGCCCUGCACCACGGGAUGGCACACGCUGCCGAUAGUGUACGAGGCUACUGCACGACCUGGGGCCAAAGGUGCCGGAGGCUCUUGUUGCAAAAGGGGAGGGACAUGGAUGAUUCAUUCAUUGUUGGGUACCGGACAUGCAACGAUAUUCGAAUCCUACCUUUGGGACGAUUCAUUCAUUAUUGGGUACUGAACAUGUAACGGUAUCCGAAUUCUACCUUUUGGGAUUGGGGAGCGACUCGUUGCUCCGUUUUGUAUAUCCCGAGAUGGCUCACUGGAUCAUCGCCGGGAUGGAUUGUCGGAGCACCGCCGGGAACCUAACCGGUGGUGGGGAGCACCGAUGUCUGGGCAUGCGAUGGGCAUGGGCAGUGCCCUGGAUAACCCCUGGAUGCUCAAUAUCACUUCCCCUCUAAAGAGCUAAAAAAACUUGGUCAAUGUGCUACCAGUCGACAUUCUGUGUCUGAAACAGGGACAGGUUCCAGAUGUCUGAAAUAGGGACACUUUUUUCAGCCCAACGCUCCUGCACAUCCGAGGCACCAAGGUGCCGAUGUUGCUCAAUGACCCGCACCAUGGGAUGGCCUCCGUUGCGGAUAUUACCCCAGACUCCCGUACAUGCCUGAAAUGGGGGCAUUUUUUUUUACGCCACUUACACUUAAUAUUUUUAAUUGAAAAAUUUUUCUGUUGGCUCAAAAGAAAUAUAAGAAGCUGAAUGAAAUAUGGCAUGAUAGCACGGCAGAAAAUUGAACAAGUGCCCGAGCCGCCAACAGUUGAGAGCUCGCACUCGCACCACCACGACCCUCGUUAUGCCAUGUUUCCCGAGGGGGCGGCACGGCCAAGUGUUUAACUUAGAAAUUUUUUCUGUUGGC